rnacentral:lncRNA from 1 species
GUUGGGUGAAUCUUUUUCAUUCUCACUAUUUUUUAAAACUGAAGCUGGAUGUGUUUUUGUAGUUGUUACAGUGGCUAGAAAGAUCUGGUGCCAAGAGAAGAACAUGUGAACCAGAACUGCUUUCCUUUCCUUCCUGCACGAUGCUGAGUGAAGAGAUCACAAGUGAAAGUUAAACUACAGAGCUGAACCCUAGGAAUCCAAAAUGAAAGGCUGUUUCCUUUCUUCUGUCCUAAAGAAGCUUAGACAAUUUAGGAAAACAAUCUAGUACCAU